rnacentral:rRNA from 1 species
GAACCUGAUCAGCCAUGCCGCGUGUGUGAAGAAGGCCCUCGGGUUGUAAAGCACUUUCAGCGAGGAAGAACGCCUAGCGGUUAAUACCCGCUAGGAAAGACAUCACUCGCAGAAGAAGCACCGGCUAACUCCGUGCCAGCAGCCGCGGUAAUACGGAGGGUGCAAGCGUUAAUCGGAAUUACUGGGCGUAAAGCGCGCGUAGGUGGCUUGAUAAGCCGGUUGUGAAAGCCCCGGGCUCAACCUGGGAACGGCAUCCGGAACUGUCAAGCUAGAGUGCAGGAGAGGAAGGUAGAAUUCCCGGUGUAGCGGUGAAAUGCGUAGAGAUCGGGAGGAAUACCAGUGGCGAAGGCGGCCUUCUGGACUGACACUGACACUGAGGUGCGAAAGCGUGGGUAGCAAACAGGAUUAGAUACCCUGGUAGUCCACGCCGUAAACGAUGUCGACCAGCCGUUGGGUGCCUAGCGCACUUUGUGGCGAAGUUAACGCGAUAAGUCGACCGCCUGGGGAGUACGGCCGCAAGGUUAAAACUCAAAUG